GACGAACGCUGGCGGCGUGCUUAACACAUGCAAGUCGAACGGAAAGGCCCUGCUUUUGUGGGGUGCUCGAGUGGCGAACGGGUGAGUAGCACGUGAGUAACCUGCCCUUGACUUUGGGAUAACUUCAGGAAACUGGGGCUAAUACCGGAUAGGAGCUCCUGCUGCAUGGUGGGGGUUGGAAAGUUUCGGCGGUUGGGGAUGGACUCGCGGCUUAUCAGCUUGUUGGUGGAGUAGUGGCUUACCAAGGCUUUGACGGGUAGCCGGCCUGAGAGGGUGACCGGCCACAUUGGGACUGAGAUACGGCCCAGACUCCUACGGGAGGCAGCAGUGGGGAAUAUUGCACAAUGGGCGGAAGCCUGAUGCAGCAACGCCGCGUGCGGGAUGACGGCCUUCGGGUUGUAAACCGCUUUCGCCUGUGACGAAGCGUGAGUGACGGUAAUGGGUAAAGAAGCACCGGCUAACUACGUG
rnacentral:rRNA from 1 species